rnacentral:ribozyme from 1 species
AAAAAAACCAAAAAAAGGCCAAAAUUUUUUCGGCGCACAUUCAAUUUUUUUUGUUUUUGUUUGAUUUUGUUUUCGAAAAUGGAGUGAUUUUGGCCAAAACUUGUCGG